UACGUAGGGUGCAAGCGUUGUCCGGAAUUAUUGGGCGUAAAGAGCUCGUAGGCGGUCUGUCGCGUCGGCUGUGAAAACCCGGGGCUCACCCCGGGCCUGCAGUCGAUACGGGCAGACUAGAGUGCGGUAGGGGAGACUGGAAUUCCUGGUGUAGCGGUGAAAUGCGCAGAUAUCAGGAGGAACACCGGUGGCGAAGGCGGGUCUCUGGGCCGUAACUGACGCUGAGGAGCGAAAGCGUGGGGAGCGAACAGG
rnacentral:rRNA from 1 species